UCACUACUUGCGUAGGCAGUUGAUCCAGAGUUCCCACCAUUACGUGCUGGCAACUGAAUCCAGGGGUUGCGCUCGUUGCUGGACUUAACCAAACACCUCACGGCACGAGCUGACGACAGCCAUGCAGCACCUGUACCGCCCCCCUUGCGGGUAGCCCACUUUCAUGAGUUUAGACGGCCUUUCAAGCCUAGGUAAGGUUCUUCGCGUUGCAUCGAAUUAAACCACAUGCUCCACUGCUUGUGCGGGCCCCCGUCAAUUCCUUUGAGUUUCACCCUUGCGAGCGUACUCCCCAGGUGGAUCACUUAUCGCGUUAGCUCCGACACCGACGGGAAACCGCCGACAUCAAGUGAUCAUCGUUUAGGGCAUGGACUAC
rnacentral:misc_RNA from 1 species